rnacentral:rRNA from 1 species
UAUCGGAUUGAUACUAAGCCAUGCGAGUCAUUGUAGCAAUACAAGGCAUACGGCUCAGUAACGCGUAGUCAACCUAACCUAUGGACGGGAAUAACCUCGGGAAACUGAGAAUAAUGCCCGAUAGAACAUUAUGCCUGGAAUGGUUUAUGUUCCAAAUGAUUUAUCGCCGUAGGAUGGGACUGCGGCCUAUCAGUUUGUUGGUGAGGUAAUGGCCCACCAAGACUAUUACAGGUACGGGCUCUGAGAGGAGUAGCCCGGAGAUGGGUACUGAGACACGGACCCAGGCCCUAUGGGGCGCAGCAGGCGAGAAAACUUUGCAAUGUGCGAAAGCACGACAAGGUUAAUCCGAGUGGUUUCUGCUAAAGGAACCUUUUGUCAGUCCUAGAAACACUGAUGAAUAAGGGGUGGGCAAGUUCUGGUGUCAGCCGCCGCGGUAAAACCAGCACCUCAAGUGGUCAGGAUGAUUAUUGGGCCUAAAGCAUCCGUAGCCGGCUCUGUAAGUUUUCGGUUAAAUCUGUACGCUCAACGUACAGGCUGCCGGGAAUACUGCAAAGCUAGGGAGUGGGAGAGGUAGACGGUACUCGGUAGGAAGGGGUAAAAUCCUUUGAUCUAUUGAUGACCACCUGUGGCGAAGGCGGUCUACCAGAACACGUCCGACGGUGAGGGAUGAAAGCUGGGGGAGCAAACCGGAUUAGAUACCCGGGUAGUCCCAGCUGUAAACCAUGCAAACUCAGUGAUGCAUUGGCUUGUGGCCAAUGCAGUGCUGCAGGGAAGCCGUUAAGUUUGCCGCCUGGGAGGUACGUACGCAAGUAUGAAACUUAAAGGAAUUGGCGGGGGAGCACCACAAGGGGUGAAGCCUGCGGUUCAAUUGGAGUC